rnacentral:rRNA from 1 species
GAUGAACGCUGGCGGCGUGCCUAAUACAUGCAAGUCGAGCGAACGGACGAGAAGCUUGCUUCUCUGAUGUUAGCGGCGGACGGGUGAGUAACACGUGGAUAACCUACCUAUAAGACUGGGAUAACUUCGGGAAACCGGAGCUAAUACCGGAUAAUAUUUUGAACCGCAUGGUUCAAAAGUGAAAGACGGUCUUGCUGUCACUUAUAGAUGGAUCCGCGCUGCAUUGGCUAGUUGGUAAGGUAACGGCUUACCAAGGCAACGAUGCAUAGCCGACCUGAGAGGGUGAUCGGCCACACUGGAACUGAGACACGGUCAAGACUCCUACGGGAGGCAGCAGUAGGGAAUCUUCCGCAAUGGGCGAAAGCCUGACGGAGCAACGCCGCGUGAGUGAUGAAGGUCUUCGGAUCGUAAAACUCUGUUAUUAGGGAAGAACAUAUGUGUAAGUAACUGUGCACAUCUUGACGGUACCUAAUCAGAAAGCCACGGCUAACUACGUG